rnacentral:rRNA from 1 species
UACGUAGGGUGCAAGCGUUGUCCGGAAUUAUUGGGCGUAAAGAGCUCGUAGGCGGCUCAGUAAGUCGGGUGUGAAACCUCCAGGCUCAACCUGGAGACGCCACCCGAUACUGCUAUGGCUAGAGUCCAGUAGGGGAGCGUGGAAUUCCUGGUGUAGCGGUGAAAUGCGCAGAUAUCAGGAGGAACACCAGCGGCGAAGGCGGCGCUCUGGGCUGGAACUGACGCUGAGGAGCGAAAGCGUGGGGAGCGAACAGG